rnacentral:rRNA from 1 species
CUCCUACGGGAGGCAGCAGUGGGGAAUCUUGCACAAUGGACGAAAGUCUGAUGCAGCAACGCCGCGUGGGGGAUGGAAGCUUUUCGGAGUGUAAACCCCUUUCGACCCGGAAGAAUGCCCGCAAGGGUUUGACGGUACGGGUAUAAGAAGCCCCGGCUAACCUACGUGCCAGCAGCCGCGGUAAUUC